UACGGAGGGAGCUAGCGUUGUUCGGAAUUACUGGGCGUAAAGCGCACGUAGGCGGCUUUGUAAGUUAGAGGUGAAAGCCCGGGGCUCAACCCCGGAAUUGCCUUUAAGACUGCAUCGCUUGAAUCCGGGAGAGGUGAGUGGAAUUCCGAGUGUAGAGGUGAAAUUCGUAGAUAUUCGGAAGAACACCAGUGGCGAAGGCGGCUCACUGGACCGGUAUUGACGCUGAGGUGCGAAAGCGUGGGGGAGGCAAACAGG
rnacentral:rRNA from 1 species